rnacentral:tRNA from 1 species
GGAGGAUUGGCCGAGUGGUAAGGCACCGGUUUGCCCUGCGUUUGAUCAGAAGCAGCCGUGGUCGGGCUCGCAACAGCCCGCGCACGUUCGAUCCGUGCAUCCUCCG